UGGGGUCCUAAUAUGGAUUACUUGCCUUAACCAAUAAUUGAUUCUUUUGUAAAAAAACUUUAGAAAAGAGAAUUUUGAUUAUCUUGAAAAGAUGAAGCUUUUUCUUUGGUUCAUGAUAAUUUAUGAACUUCCGUGGAUUCUAAAAUGGGAUUAUGGUUUCGUAGAAGAUGAUUAUGGUGCUUAGGAAUUUGUCCCCCAACUUGAAAGAAAUGUUUUUAUUUGCUAGUGGGAUAAUGUCCACCUUGAUCAUUUCAAGCCAACAUCUUUUAAAGCCAGAAGAAUCUUGUCUCAUAGGUAGGUUGUAGCCGAACUACCCUGCUCAACUACCGAAUCAUCUUCAAAGUCUGAAAAGCAUAAGUCUUUGAUCGAGUCCUAGCUCUUCUUGCUCCAAGAAAUAUCUUAAAGGUAAAGUUCUUAAAAUUCUUGAACUCGACAAAUUAAAUGACGAAGAAAUGGAAUCUGAAGCCGAAUCAUCCCAUCACAAUAGGGAUGAAGUUUUCAAUGAUGAAAAUGAAGAUAGCUGCUAUGGAAUUUGUCCUCCAAUCCAUCCAAAGAAGUAAAGCAUGAAAUGAUUUUUCUUUGAUUAAAGAGAAAGUGUGAAAGAAAAGAAAAGAUGUCUGAUAUCCAGACGCCAACAAUUAUUAUUUUCCUGCAUAAUUGUCCUUUGUUCUCGUAGCUAUUUGUCGAUGUGCUUCUAUUUUAAGAAUCUUUCUGUGAAACCACGUGAAGCUAAGUCAAUGCCAUUUCAUAAAGUGAAGAUGCCUCCCAAUGUUGUAGGCUGCUUUAUGUUGUUCCUCUGCCUGUGUGACGCCUGGUCCUUCAGUUUGCUUUUGAUUUUUAUUUAAAGAGCUAUCUAGCUCAAAUGUGUGUACGCUUAAGAAUUUCACUUUGCGUUUUCUUUUUCAGUGCUACUCUUGUAUCCAAACUUUGGAGUGCUUCCCUGUAACCUUGAAGAUCAAUAAAUUAAGGCGAAGGAUAUUUGGCCAAUUGUACAAUCAGGAUUUGCGAAUGAAGUACCGAAGACUUUAAGGUAACACAUUAUUUUCUAUCGUUAAUCGAUUGCUAAUUUGUUUUCCCUAAAACAUGAGAGAAUAGACAAAAUAAAACAAAAUUUUCUGUUCAGGCACCAAAAAUAUAUUCAUGCUUUGAGAUUAUGCAUUUAUAGCAUCUAGUCAGGAGACUGAGCUGGUUUAACGGGAUCAUCCACCAAGGGAAUGUCUAAUAUAUAAUUCGAAUAUGCUGUUAAAGGGAUCAUCA